UCGACGGAGAGUUUGAUCCUGGCUCAGGACGAACGCUGGCGGCGUGCUUAAUACAUGCAAGUCGAACGAGGCCCAACCAGUGGCAACACUGGGGAAAGUCUAGUGGCGAACGGGUGAGUAACACGUGAUGAACCUGCCCCGGAGACCGGGAUAACCCUUCGAAAGGAGGGCUAAUACCGGAUACCCUCUUCUGACCGCAUGGUCGGACGAGGAAAUGGGUUUCCGCUCCGGGAGGGCAUCGCGGCCUAUCAGCUUGUUGGUGGGGUGAUGGCCCACCAAGGCUACGACGGGUAGCUGGUCUGAGAGGAUGAUCAGCCACACUGGGACUGAGACACGGCCCAGACUCCUACGGGAGGCAGCAGUAGGGAAUCUUGCGCAAUGGGCGAAAGCCUGACGCAGCAACGCCGCGUGGGGGAUGAAGGCUCUCGGGUUGUAAACCCCUUUCAGUAGGGACGAACACAGACGGUACCUACAGAAGAAGCCCCGGCCAACUACGUGCCAGCAGCCGCGGUAACACGUAGGGGGCAAGCGUUGUCCGGAUUUACUGGGCGUAAAGAGCUCGUAGGCGGUUCGGCAAGUCGGGUGUGACAACUCCAGGCUCAACCUGGAGAGGUCACUCGAUACUGCUGUGACUAGAGUCCGGUAGGGGAGCGUGGAAUUCCCGGUGUAGCGGUGAAAUGCGCAGAUAUCGGGAGGAACACCAGUGGCGAAGGCGGCGCUCUGGGCCGGAACUGACGCUGAGGAGCGAAAGCGUGGGUAGCAAACAGGAUUAGAUACCCUGGUAGUCCACGCCGUAAACGUUGGGCACUAG
rnacentral:rRNA from 1 species